CACGCCAUCGAACUGUUUGUGUGUCUGAAACUUCUUUGACCUCUGCAUACAACACUUCAUCCAUCUGCAUGCUUUUAGAGUUAAAUUGUGGGAUCUUUCCUCUUAUCAUCUAGGGGUUUGAUUCAGAGAAAUGUCACUUUGAUUGACUAAUCCAGUCUAACUUAAAAUGUUUGCAGGAUAUUCUUGGAAUGUGGUCUUCAUUCACUUUGGAUUUCAUGUGUUCCACAAAAUACUCCCUAACAUUACGUUUUAGCCCAAUCAAAUACUAACAUUUUUGUUUAAAAAUUACAUUUUGUUGACACAAAACACAUUAACAGACAACAAUCAGAUUUUUAUUGGUACUAAAACACAUGCAUGCUUUUGGAAAAUAACAGAUAGCUCUGCAGGAGGAAACUGAACAAAGAUAUGAUCUUAGAGAGGAAGCCAUGCAUGGCCAUCAUUUUCACUCACAUGCCUUUAUAUACAUGGUUUCUAUUCCAGCAUAAGAGAGUGAGAGUAAAAAUGUUAUGAUCUGAUCAUAACAUCUGAUUUAAUCAGACUUACAAAAAAUAUACUAAUGUGCAAAUUGUGGUAAAAUGGAAAAAAUGUAAAACAUUGCAAAAUAAAUUUUAAGCAGAAGAAACAAAUAAGACAUUAGAACAACAAAGUUUGAGUACAACAAGAGGUCUCACUUUGACAAAUUGUAGGUCUGUGUCUGGUUUAUUUUUGGUUGUAACAUGUUUGUACUUCAUGGAGUGAAGUUAUUUGCACUGGGUCAAGUUUAGAGAAACUUUACUGCAAGAGUAGCGAUACUUUAUAACAUUUCUCAAGUAAAUAUGAAAUAUAUGGUGCUGUAACGCAGUGGUCCCCAACCUUUUUAUCACAACGGACCGGUCAAGGCUUGGCAAUUUUACUGCGGCCCCAGGGGACUGGUGGGAAGGAGGUCACAUGACACAAUUUUACAUUUUUUUGUCCCGAUUUUCCCCUAAUGACAAUCUUAGACGGUUCCGAGUUCUAAGAUUGUCGCUUGUGAUAAUCGUACGAUUAUCCUGUCAGUGUGGAACGUCGGACCGAUCCCGUCUAACAUCGGGCAUAUUCAACAUGUUUGAUUGUCUUGGCCCUUUUAUCGCAGCGUGCGGGGUUUUCCCUGACGCAACCUGUUGAAUGUGACUGGGAGUCAAUCAGAAAGCGCGGUGACGUAAGCACGGUGGGGAAUCCCAAACAGCUGACGUGGCGCAACCGAGAGUCCGGUUUAGUGCGUAAGUGCAGCACAUAGAGCUGCUGCUCCUGCAGUCUUUCAUCCAACGUUUUUCUUUUUGUUACGUCUUUUAUCGCUUAAAACGAGUCUACAAACUAUCACUACUGCUUCUACAUUGUCGGACAUGUUUGUUGCUCUAAAUUCACGUAUGGUAUGUUGGGGAGUGAAAUCGGUUCUUGUGUGGUGUGUUGCUCCUGCCGUGUGGCUGGACACACGAACCGAUCGAACCUGUUGGACUUUUAUCGGCUCUGUGGUCACAGAGGUUUGGAAAAUCAGCCGACAAUCCUUAAAUCGUGCCGUGUGAACCAGACCUAAAGAGCCUCUGUUCUCGUCUCGACCACUGCCCUAACUCUCUCUGGUCUCUAUGGUAACGUUUACAUAUCCCUUCAAAAUAAGAUACAGAUGUGCCACUAAAACGAACAUUUUACUUUCAUGAAAGUUUUAA